rnacentral:rRNA from 1 species
UACAGAGGGUGCAAACGUUGCUCGGAAUUACUGGGCGUAAAGCGCGUGUAGGCGGCUUGUUAAGUUGGUCGUGAAAGCCCAUGGCUCAACCAUGGAAGUGCAACCAAAACUGGCAAGCUUGAGUUCUGAAGAGGAUGGCGGAAUUCCCAGUGUAGAGGUGAAAUUCGUAGAUAUUGGGAGGAACAUCGGUGGCGAAGGCGGCCAUCUGGGAAGAUACUGACGCUGAGACGCAAAAGCGUGGGUAGCAAACAGG